rnacentral:misc_RNA from 1 species
UUUCAAGCCAUUGAAGAGUUUUGGCGCCUACAAAUGAACAAAGUAAAGCAAAGGAAAGAUAUUUAAGUAUGUCCAGCAUUUCAUAGCUUAGAUACAGUGGUUGAAAACAAAAACUGAAGGGUACAGUACAUUAGUGUACAUAUCAAGUCAGCAUUUUUAUAGAAACAGAGAUAAUGGCUUUGUGCAACUUAUGGUGGUCUGAGGACAUUAUGGAAGUGUUUAAUCACAUAAGAGUUGCCACUGCUGCCUUGAUGAAAACAAAGGAUUAAACUGCACCACAUACUCAGUCGGCAUUCCUAAGGUGAAUGUAUUCUAUACUGUCCUAAUUAAUAAUUUUCCAGACCAAUACAAACAAGCAUAUGAAGCUGAACAGUCCCUGUAAUGUCCUUGUUUUUCACUCUAGAAAUUGAGUCUUUAUCUGUUGUAUGAGUAUGAAAAGAGAGUAAACAAAUCUGCAAAAGAGUUACAAAAUUCCGGCCACUGUUAGUGAGCAUA